GUCUCCUGCCUCAGCCUUCUGAGUAUCUGGAACUACAGGUGUGUGCCAUCAUGCCUGGCUAAUGUUUACAUUUUUAGUAUAGAUGGGGUUUCACCAUGUUGGUCAAGCUGGUCUUGAACUCCUGACCUCAGGUGAUUCACACACCUCGGCCUCUCAGAGUGCUGCGAUUACAGGUGCGAGCCACCGCACCCAGCCAAGGACUCUUAAGUGUAACUGAUCCACCCUACUUUUCUCCCUGGCAUGAACGACUGUGCCCAGCCUUGUUUUUGUGUUUUAGCC
rnacentral:lncRNA from 10 species